rnacentral:rRNA from 1 species
AUGCAUGCCACCAUCUCAGGAAAACAAAGAUGCAUAUCUCCCCCGCUGCCGCCGGCAACCCGGAGCCAUAGGGUUUGCUGGGAAACGAUGCAAGGAGAUUUGGUUCGGCUGGUCGCGUCGCGCUUGCUGGCCGGCAAUUUACUGGAUUACGUCCGUUUCCGUGCUGUCUGUGUGCAAUGGCGAUCAGAGACUCUCUGCCCGCGUGGCCGUGGCGUCGUUGAUCCACGUUUCCACCCGCGCCGCUGGACGAUGUUCCCCGAGGGCCGUGGCCUUUAUCCUGGACACCCCGGGCUGGGUGACUAUGUCCGCUUCUUCAACCUAGACUCAGGUGUCUUUGUCCGUGUCCGCCUCCCGCUGUUUACCAACCAUUGUAUUCUUGAUUCGAUCUACGGCCUACUCCUCCUCCAGAGGGAUGAAGACACAGCCGUCCGUCUCCUCCACCCUUUCACCGGUGACAUCGUUGAGCUUCCACGGCUCACCACCCUGGUCUCGCAGAAGCCCGAGGGAGGAGCUUGGCCCCUCGAGAUCAAGACGAUGAGAUACAUCUCUACUAGUGCUUCCUUUGUUGCAGGAGCAGUCACUGUUUUGAUUACCUUCAAUUUGUAUUUUUGUGGGGCUGUUGCUACCUCUCUAGAUACGCAAUGGACGAUGCUAAGUUGGACAUGCCCAGGGUCAUAUAUCAAUGGACCUCUGCCAUUACACGGAAAGAUAUACGAUGUUCCUGCCUUCUUCGAUGAUAGGAAUGGUGCACCACGGAUUUUUGAGAUUUUUUUUUUCGAAAAGGGGUUCUCCCCGGCCUCUGCAUCAAGAGUGAUGCAUACGGCCAUAUUAUUAACAAAAUAA